ACUCCUACGGGAGGCAGCAGUGGGGAAUAUUGCACAAUGGGGGAAACCCUGAUGCAGCGACGCCGCGUGAGUGAAGAAGUGUUUCGGCACGUAAAGCUCUAUCAGCAGGGAAGAAAAUGACGGUACCUGACUAAGAAGCCCCGGCUAACUACGUGCCAGCAGCCGCGGUAAU
rnacentral:rRNA from 1 species